UGAGGAAUAUUGGUCAAUGGACGAAAGUCUGAACCAGCCAUGCCGCGUGCAGGAUGACGGCCCUACGGGUUGUAAACUGCUUUUAUACAGGAAGAAACCUUCACUCGUGAGUGGAGCUGACGGUACUGUAGGAAUAAGGACCGGCUAACUCCGUGCCAGCAGCCGCGGUAAUACGGAGGGUCCAAGCGUUAUCCGGAUUUAUUGGGUUUAAAGGGUACGUAGGCGGAGUUAUAAGUCAGUAGUGAAAGCCUCCCGCUUAACGGGAGAACUGCUAUUGAUACUGUUACUCUUGAAUGUAGUUGAAGUAGGCGGAAUACGGCAUGUAGCGGUGAAAUGCAUAGAUAUGCCGUGGAACACCAAUCGCGAAGGCAGCUUACUAAGCUAUUAUUGACGCUAAUGUACGAAAGCGUGGGGAGCGAACAGGAUUAGAUACCCCCGUAGUCC
rnacentral:rRNA from 1 species